ACCAGGGAGCUCCGGAAACUGCACAUGCCCGUGCCCACCCAGGCUGCGAUUCCAGUCACCUGGAGCAAGGCUGGGAAACUCUGCAAAUCAGCAAGCAAGGAGAAUGCACAGAAGUUUGAGAAUGUUUCAUAGGCAAGAAUUGCAGAUCUUGGAGGUCUUUCUGAAACAUACACCAUUCCUUCUUCUCUCGAGGACUCUUCCCUGACAUUCUGUCCCAUGACAAGGAAGAGUAUCGGGGUGAGUCGGCUCUGACUUUACUCACCUGUUCCAAGGGCAGAGAGCAAGGCUGUAUUCACAGGCCAGUGAUGAAGGCUGUGACAUCUCCGGUCCCUCUGCAGUUCUGCCCUGGUCAGACAUCAUCAGUCUACAUGCAGAGGCUGAGGACAGAUGAAACAGCUGACUCGCCUGUGUGAUCUGUUCUGUUUCUCUGGACCUCGGUUUCCCCAGCCAUAAGAGAAGUCUGUCAUAUGAGAGAAAAUCUGAAAAUGUUACCUUCUUGCUUCCCCUGGGCCCAGAGCCUGAACUUAUCACCUGGACUCUGAGGAAGAAUCUGGUGACCCUGCAGGAUCCACACUUCCCACAAGGUGUGGCCACAGAGCUACUACGAGUGAUUUUCAUUGUGAGCCAUUAUUCUGU